rnacentral:snRNA from 1 species
UAAGUUGAUCAAACGGCUUA